CACCAACAAUCCGAGUGGCUGGCCAACAUGUGAGAAGCAGCCCUGUACGGUGGAUCCUGGAACGAACACCAACAACUGUCCGCCUAACUGUACUUGCCAUGUUAACGUGACAACACCGACCCACAAGACGGGCUUUUGUAUUUGAUAGAUAGCAUAGCAUACAUACGGUGCUUGGUAUUUAAAUGAAGAUAGGAAAAUAUUUUGUUUUCAUAAACGAUCUUGGAAAUUGGGAUUUAUGGCAUAAUGCAAGAUUCAUGAUGCGUAUCGACACCAUUUGCCUAAAUGUCACCACACUCACCAUACAAGCGCAAGAAAUGCAAAAUAUCGCAAAACUAGACAAUGUUUUGGCAGAAUGAGCUGGAUAGAUA
rnacentral:lncRNA from 1 species